GACGAACGCUGGCGGCGUGCUUAACACAUGCAAGUCGAACGGAAAGGCCCUGCUUUUGUGGGGUGCUCGAGUGGCGAACGGGUGAGUAACACGUGAGUAACCUGCCCUUGACUUUGGGAUAACUUCAGGAAACUGGGGCUAAUACCGGAUAGGAGCUCCUGCUGCAUGGUGGGGGUUGGAAAGUUUCGGCGGUUGGGGAUGGACUCGCGGCUUAUCAGCUUGUUGGUGGGGUAGUGGCUUACCAAGGCUUUGACGGGUAGCCGGCCUGAGAGGGUGACCGGCCACAUUGGGACUGAGAUACGGCCCAGACUCCUACGGGAGGCAGCAGUGGGAAUAUUGCACAAUGGGCGGAAGCCUGAUGCAGCAACGCCGCGUGCGGGAUGACGGCCCUCGGGUUGUAAACCGCUUUCGCCUGUGACGAAGCGUGAGUGACGGUAAUGGGUAAAGAAGCACCGGCUAACUACGUG
rnacentral:rRNA from 1 species